rnacentral:rRNA from 1 species
AUUGAACGCUGGCGGCAUGCCUUACACAUGCAAGUCGAACGGUAACGGGCCUUCGGGUGCCGACGAGUGGCGAACGGGUGAGUAAUGCAUCGGAACGUACCUUUCAGUGGGGGAUAACGUAGCGAAAGUUACGCUAAUACCGCAUAUUCUGUGAGCAGGAAAGCAGGGGAUCGCAAGACCUUGCGCUGAUUGAGCGGCCGAUGUCAGAUUAGCUAGUUGGUGAGGUAAAGGCUCACCAAGGCGACGAUCUGUAGCGGGUCUGAGAGGAUGAUCCGCCACACUGGAACUGAGACACGGUCCAGACUCCUACGGGAGGCAGCAGUGGGGAAUUUUGGACAAUGGGGGCAACCCUGAUCCAGCCAUGCCGCGUGAGUGAAGAAGGCCUCGGGUUGUAAAGCUCUUUCGGCUGGGAGAAGUACGCAUCUCCUAAUACGGGUGUGGAUGACGGUACCAGCAUAAGAAG